rnacentral:rRNA from 1 species
UGGGGAUUUUCCGCAAUGGGCGAAAGCCUGACGCAGCGACGCCGCGUGAGGGAAGAAGGCCUUCGGGUUGUAAACCUCUUUCAGGAGGGACGAAGCUACUCGGGUUAAUAGCCCAGAGGGUGACGGUACCUCCAGAAGAAGCCCCGGCUAACUACGUGCCAGCAGCCGCGGUAAUACGUAGGGGGCAAGCGUUGUCCGGAUUUACUGGGCGUAAAGCGCGUGUAGGCGGCUACGCAGGUCCGUUGUGAAAACUGAAGGCUUAACCUUCAGACGUCGACGGAAACCGCGUGGCUAGAGUCCGGAAGAGGAGAGUGGAAUUCCUGGUGUAGCGGUGAAAUGCGCAGAUAUCAGGAAGAACACCAAUGGCGAAGGCAACUCUCUGGGACGGUACUGACGCUGAGACGCGAAAGCGUGGGGAGCAAAAGGGAUUAGAUACCCCUGUAGUC